GCUAGAAUGAUAGACUUGAAACGGUGUGGUUUAUAAAGAAAAGAGGUUUAUUUGGCUUGCUCGCAGUUCCGGAGGCUGGAACGGAAGAGCGGAAGGACACGGCACUGGUGAGAAGGUGAGGGACCUUCCUGCUGUGUCACAAGGUGCUGGAGGACAUCACACAGUGACAUGUUUAUCCCUGGCUUUUCUUAUGAAACCACCAGCCCCACAAUGGGCUCCCAGUCUGUUGACCUCAUCUGAUCCUAAUCACCUUCCCACCGACCACUUCUAAACACCAUCAUGUAAACUGAAGAUUCUGUUUCCGACAGUUGAAGACUAGAGGCCAUGGCAGAGAGCUUCUAGAAGAUUCUUGACAGUGACUACCAACUUUCUAUUGGGUGUUUUUUUCAUCCAGGGCUGCUUCUGGUCUUGCAAGGGGUGAUUAACAACCAAAAAGAAGAUGGUAAGAAGGGCCAGCUGUGGUUUCUGGAGAAACUUGGAUUCUUCACCUCCAGCUCUUCUGAUAGAUGAAGAAGACCAUCCCUCAGAAGAGUUCCUUAUAGCCACGUUUGUGGACUCCGCUCUUUCGUAUCUCCCUCCCAGUUUGGCUUCCUACCUCUGUCUCCAUUGCUUCCAGCUCUUCAGGAUGUGUGAAGACUCAGACACCACGAGCACCGAAGUAGACAUCAGGGAAUCCCAGGAGUGGUUAGCAUUUUCAGCAUUCCUGUGAAAACCAACUGGAAAAAUGAGCACGGGAAGAGCAGACAGAAUUUUUAUGUGGUGUCUUCGUCUCCCAGGAUCUACUCCUGCUACAUAACAUCAGGAUGAGGCGAGAAAUGUGAUGUUUUUCUUGCCAUUUGGAAAGGACAAUUCCAAAUUAGUCUUCUUUCGAAUCCCUUUCCCCACUGACCUCUCCACCAAAAAAAAAAAUAAAAUAAAAAGGGCAUUGGAUCAG
rnacentral:lncRNA from 1 species